GAUGAACGCUGGCGGCGUGCCUAAUACAUGCAAGUCGAGCGAACAGACGAGGAGCUUGCUCCUCUGACGUUAGCGGCGGACGGGUGAGUAACACGUGGAUAACCUCCCUAUAAGACUGGGAUAACUUCGGGAAACCGGAGCUAAUACCGGAUAAUAUCUUGAACCGCAUGGUUCAAUAGUGAAAGACGGUUUUGCUGUCACUUAUAGAUGGAUCCGAGCCGCAUUAGCUAGUUGGUAAGGUAACGGCUUACCAAGGCAACGAUGCGUAGCCGACCUGAGAGGGUGAUCGGCCACACUGGUACUAAGACACGGUCCAGACUCCUACGGGAGGCAGCAGUAGGGAAUCUUCCGCAAUGGGCGAAAGCCUGACGGAGCAACGCCGCGUGAGUGAUGAAGGUCUUCGGAUCGUAAAACUCUGUUAUUAGGGAAGAACAAAUGUGUAAGUAACUAUGCACGUCUUGACGGUACCUAAUCAGAAAGCCACGGCUAACUACGUG
rnacentral:rRNA from 1 species